rnacentral:rRNA from 1 species
UACGAAGGGUGCAAGCGUUACUCGGAAUUACUGGGCGUAAAGGGUGCGUAGGUGGUUGUUUAAGUCUGCUGUGAAAGCCCCGGGCUCAACCUGGGAAUGGCAGUGGAUACUGGAUAGCUAGAGUACGGUAGAGGGGGAUGGAAUUCCGCGUGUAGCAGUGAAAUGCGUAGAUAUGCGGAGGAACACCGAUGGCGAAGGCAAUCCCCUGGACCUGUACUGACGCUCAUGCACGAAAGCGUGGGGAGCAAACAGG